CUUCCUCUCUCAUCCUUUAC
rnacentral:miRNA from 1 species